rnacentral:tRNA from 1 species
GGGAUACUAGCUCAGGUGGUUUAGAGUACUUGACUUUUAAUCAAGUUGUCCCGGGUUCGAGUCCCGGGUGUCUCA